GGCUCGUUGGUGUAGUUGGUUAUCACGUCAGUCUAACACCUUGUUAGUUCACUGAAGGUCCUGAGUUCAAGCCUCAGACAAGUCA